rnacentral:rRNA from 1 species
UACGAAGGGGGCUAGCGUUUGUUCGGAGUUACUGGGCGUAAAGGGCGCGUAGGCGGCGCACCAAGUCAGGCGUGAAAGCCCUGGCUCAACCCGGGAAUUGCGCUUGAGACUGGUGUGCUUGAGUACGGGAGAGGAUAGUGGAAUUCCCAGUGUAGAGGUGAAAUUCGUAGAUAUUGGGAAGAACACCGGUGGCGAAGGCGGCUAUCUGGACCGUAACUGGACCGCGUGAGGCG